rnacentral:rRNA from 1 species
GGGUGGGGGUGGGGGCGGCUAAGCUAAGCUAAGCUAAGUUCGGCGGGGCGCGUUCUACUACGGCCCCAGUCGGGGCGGCCGUCGGCCCUCGCCGUACAAGCACGGCUGCGUCUGCCGCCCGUGCCACGAGACGACGUAGACGCCGCAGAGGUACGUCGGGUUGGGCCGGUUGUACACGCGGGCGACGGAGGCCCGCGCGCAGCUGUAGUGGCUCCCGCAGGGCGCGUUGCGGCGGCAGCAGAUGACGGGGCUGACGAAGAGGAUGGAGGUCGGCGGCGCGAGGACCGAGGCGCGGCCGGGCCUCAGGGGGCUCGAGGACGUCUAGGAGGAGGCGGCGGAGUUCGUGGGCGAGCGGGCGGAGUUCCAGAGCGAGAGGCCGCGGCUCAAGCAGAAGAGGCUCGGGGUGAGGUUCGCGGAGGCGGAGUUCGAGGCGGAGGCGGCGCUCCAGGAGUUGCCGUAGCAGGAGCUCGUCUGGGUGAGGCAGCUCAAGCAGCAGGUGCUGGCGGAGACGCUGAGGACGCGGGCGCGGGUCCGGUUGGGACUGGUCACCCAGCGGCAGCAGGUCGAGGCGGUCGUGCAGGGCGUGGCGGCGUGGAAGGAGAUGGAGCUCGUCGAGGAGUAGUUCGUACCGGUCCGGCGUGAGCGGUAGGCGCAGCGGAGCCGAGGGCCGCCGGAGCUGAAGAAGAAGCCGAGCGCGAGCGUGCGACGGGCGGAGCAGCUGAAGGAACCAUGUCAGCGAGGGUAGGUCUGGUUGUGUCGGUUCGUCGAGCAGAGAGUACUGUGUUUCUCAAAAUAGAUAUUGAUGUUCAUGUGAAAGAGCCAGCUCUAGACGGGGUAUACGGCACUCCUGGACUAACGGGAGUCGGGGUUCCGCAGGGCACUAGAACCACCUGAUCCGGGCGAGCAGGAGACGUGGUUCCAGUGGUUACGGUAACGCGACGAACUGGGCGAGUGAGACGCACACGUGGUAGACCUCCUCUUCUUCAUGUCCCACAUGUUGAAGUUCCGGCGAGACUGAUCGUUCGUCGAGCACGUCAUGUACCACGAACUAUAACUCGGUCUCAGUGGACUCUAGUGGUAGCUACCUAGAGCCAUGGUCGACCGUAUACGCGUCCAGCGGGCGUACAGACUAAAACCCUUUUUACUAUGACACAAAUGUCAUGCUUGAGUAGAACCCGUGGCAGACUCGGGACCCCUAGAACGGGAACCCAUACUAGAGAUACCGCGGUUAUACUUACUACUACUAUACCUGUUCCGAAAUAAUGCGGUCUUAAACGGACUUCAGUAAGACCAGUUCUUCUCGAUACUCUUCUCCGCUGCGUGUGCGUCUACCUUCGACUUCUCCGACGGACAACUCCUUCUGGAACCCUUGUUCCGGUUUCCACUCCUUCUCGCCUCCCUUCUACUCAUAUGUUUAAAGGAACUACUCAACCUCGCACUAGGUCUUUAUUCCAAAUGCUAUUUAGACAUGUUCUUGCUGCUGAUGUCCAGUCUUUACCGUAGGUGCUAACCACUGCUACAGGGAUGACACGGUUAACUCCUCAACUAACUCCUGGAUUGGGAACCACUACUACUCCUCCUUCUGCCACGUCUACGACCAUACCACCUUACUCGCUCGUACAGAUGGAUGUGGUAACCAGUACUGACAAGUACGGGUGACGUCCAGUAUCCAGACUGACGUAGACAAAUUAAGUAUAUUCAAAACAAAAAGAAAUGACGAUAUUCGAUACUUACAGCCUCCACAACGAAUUUUCCAGAUUUAAAACCUAAAGAGACAAACAACUACAGCUGUAACAAAUUUUGGUAUAGAGCAUAGAACCACAUUGUUAUUACAGAGUUCAAUUUAUGUAAAGGAUAGUACAGUAUACAAACACCUUACCAAAAGUCAACAGUAAAAACUAACCAGUGUUAUAGUACCUCACCUACGUUCUAAACUAAGAACUUUGUACACAAAUACAACGACUCACUAAUGACUAAUAACCUACAGAAAGUCCCUAAUCGACUUACCAGAAAGGAUCUUACCAGUUGACUCUCGAAAAGGGGAGAACGAGACAGGGUUAACAUAGAUACUCACGUCGACUUAUCGACAACACUAAAACAACUCCGACGUAAUGUCCAGAGUGACUUUUAACAAGUCGCCUACCACACGAGACGUCGGGAGACGACCAAACAUUACGUACCUGAGUGGGCACUGAUCAAAUCUUCAAUUUGUUGAACCAUUCUACCAAUACGCAUGUUGCGUACAAACGAAAGGAAAAGAAAAGUCAUCUCUUACCGUCUCGACAAACAUCAUAUUAAACAGUUAACCCUACAAAUCUUGUACUUACGUGGUGUGAUACAGAGCACAGAAACACGGUUUUGUCGGGUCACUUGACUAAACUUUACUACGUCACACACAUCAACGU